GAUGAACGCUGGCGGCGUACCUAAUACAUGCAAGUCGAGCGAACAGACGAGGAGCUUGCUCCUCUGACGUUAGCGGCGGACGGGUGAGUAACACGUGGAUAACCUACCUAUAAGACUGGGAUAACUUCGGGAAACCGGAGCUAAUACCGGAUAAUAUAUUGAACCGCAUGGUUCAAUAGUGAAAGACGGUUUUGCUGUCACUUAUAGAUGGAUCCGCGCCGCAUUAGCUAGUUGGUAAGGUAACGGCUUACCAAGGCGACGAUGCGUAGCCGACCUGAGAGGGUGAUCGGCCACACUGGAACUGAGGCACGGUCCAGACUCCUACGGGAGGCAGCAGUAGGGAAUCUUCCGCAAUGGGCGAAAGCCUGACGGAGCAACGCCGCGUGAGUGAUGAAGGUCUUCGGAUCGUAAAACUCUGUUAUUAGGGAAGAACAAAUGUGUAAGUAACUAUGCACGUCUUGACGGUACCUAAUCAGAAAGCCACGGCUAACUACGUG
rnacentral:rRNA from 1 species